rnacentral:lncRNA from 1 species
UGGCCUAGACCGCAGCGUUUCUCCGGUUUCAAACGUGCAGGAGGCGCGCCUGCGCACGACUUUCCCACCGCGUGCCCCGCUGCGGGAGCGGGAGGCGAGACGCGGGAGCCUAGAGGGGCCCGGAAGUGCCUCUGCCCCGAGCGCCCCGCGCGGCGGGAGGCCUCCUCUCUGCGGCCCCUUUUUCCGGCCUCAUCCGGCUCCGGUGAGUCAGCGCUGAGCAGCCGGGGCGGGCGUGGCUGGGAGUGGGCCGUGGAAGGGGAGGCUCCGCCCGCAGAGGCCGCCGAGGAGGCCGCGUGGUCCCAGGAGAUCCCUGGGCCCUGCGAGGCCCUCACCUGGCUCUGGGAGCUGUGUCAACACUGGCUGCGCCCUGAGACCCACAGCAAGGAGCAGAUCCUGGAGCUGCUGGUGCAGGAACUGUUUCUGAUCAUCCUCCCGAGAAGCUCCAGGCCUGGGUGCAGGAGCAGCACCUCGAGAGUGGGGACAAAGUGGUGGCUACCAUGCUGGUGGACCUGGAGAGGGAGCUAGAUGAAUCACAGCAUGAGGUGGUAGCUACACACAGGGGCAAGAAGUCCUCUCCAGAGGGACAGUGCCUCUGGGACAGCAGACAUCACUGAGGCUUCAGUCCCAGCCCAGAGGACCCCAGCCCACAUGGGAUGCUGCUCAGGAGGCCCAUCCCUGGAGAGACAGGUAAGAGACAAGGUUUUUCUGCUGUUGAUAUACAGCCUGCCCCCCCCCCCGCCACCCCCCCUUCCCCCGGGGGGAAUCAGGGGGUUAGAAGUCUCCUCAACAGGUAACAGCGGAAAAAAAAAACAAAAACAAAAAACAAAAAACAGGUAACAGCGAUGCUCAGUGCUCUGAGUGUCCGGAGUACUCCUUUCGCUCCCUUGCCCUGCGUUCAGGCUUCCCGACUACCAUCCUGGAGGCUCUCUGGCUUUCUGCUUCAUUGUGGGGAGCAGACCAAAGGUUCAAAUCAUGCCUUUGCCUUUGGAAGCUGCUUAUACAUGGGCUCUCAGUUCUCAUCGCCAAAAUGGGGUAGGUAAUAGCAUUGCUCUCGUUGCUAGGGCUAUCCUAAUAGACUAGCAUUCACUGGGGGGCAGGAACAACAAGCAUUUAUUUCCUUAUAGUGCUGGAGGCUACAUGUUGAAGAUCCAGGUGUGAGCAGGGUGGGUUGCUGACACCACCUUCUUGCCUGGUUCUCACAUGUGCCUUUGUGCCUGUGUGUACUGGGGUGGGAGUGGGGGAGAGAGAGAGAGAGAGAAUGAGUUCUGGUGUCUCUUCUCAUAAGGACAUCAGUCCUGCUGGAUCAGAGCCCUACUCUGAUUUUGAAAACUAAUGAAGAGACAAGUAAAAGUAAGUUCAUUUAUUAAUCAAAGACAAGAACAGUAUUUCCAUCUAUUCUCUAAUUUGACUUUUACAUAAUGAGUCUGAGCUUUUUAACUAUUCUGAGUGAAUUGUGUGUGUCUUAAUUACCUUAAUUACUUUUCUGAAAGGCCCUAUCACAGUGAGGGCUUUAGCAUGUGCUUGGGGUAUCAGAGAUGUCACAAUUCAGUGGCGCAAGUACGUACCACAGAAGGUGGUUGUGAGCACUGGACAUGAACAACUGAUGGGCAGCACUUGGUGGGCUGCCCUCACCUGCCUGGGCUUACAUCAGCAGUGGAAAGGUGAGAGUAUGCUUAGGAUGUGCCAGAUAGCAGAGUCCAGUGGAACCAGCCUUUGCCGCCUCAGUGGAACCACCUAUGCGACUUGGUGAUGGGUGCAGUCCUGGGCGUAGGGGAUGAGCCUGUUGCCUCUCUGUCCUGGCUGUCUCUGCAGCAGCUGGUCCAGCUUCUGCCUGAUGUCUCACACUGAUGUCGUCGCCUCUGACUGUUAACCUUCUAAAGGUCUGUGUGCAGUGGGUCUGCUGUUUCCAUUUUCACGUCAUCCCUAUGUGUAUCAAAGCCACGACUUCCACGCUGUCUGCUUCUGCCUCUGUUUCGCCUGCCCUGGCAAUCAUACAGAUACCAUGGGUUUCUGCCACUUGGAACACAUCUCUUGACUUAAAUUGAAAAGAUAUUUUUUGAAUGACUUCUGUUGCUCUACAGACCUUCCUCUGGCUCCAAUGACCUCAUCAGAUAAAAGUCCUGGAGGGCUCAGUCGGCUAAAUAUCUAACUCUUGAUUUCAGCUCAGGUCAUGAUCUCAGGGUGGUGGGAUGGAGCCCUACGCUGAGCUCUGCGCUCAGUGGAGGAGUCUGCUGGAGAGUCUCUCCUUCAUCCUCUGCCCCUCCCCAUACUCAUGCUUUCUCUCUCUAUAUAUAGAAUAAAUAUAUCUUUAAAAUAAAGUCCUUUGGUUUAAUUUCCCUCCUUCAUGAACAUCUUUGCAGUCCAUUUCUUUGUUUCUUUCUUGUUUCCCUAUUAACUUGGACUUUUUAUUUCCAGCCAUCUUUUCCUUUAUUCUGCCUUCCAAGCUGUAUCUAGAACCUACUGGGGACUCCUUUCUUCAGGACGCACAUCUGAGCAUGUCCUUGCUCCCAUCUGCCCAUUGCUCGCCGCCUCCCUCCAUCCAGUCAUCCAUUAAGCAUCGAAUAUGGCUGCUGGAGAGCACCCAAGGGCUCUCUUACAGGACUGUCACUACAGGUAUGCAUCUUAUACUCAGGAAGAGCCAGUUCUGUAAAGCAACACAGUGUCUGAGAUUACAAGGAUUAAUACACUUUCCAGCUCACAUUUUUCCUUAACCAAGCAACAUUUAAAGUUACUAUGUAUCACUGAGUUUGAGUUUCUUUUAGAAUUCCUGCUGAUGGUAAAACAUCCAAGUAAUAUACAAGUUUAUAUAGUAAAACUUGAAAGUUCUCCAGAUUUUAUUCCCUAGUAGUAACCACUCUUGUCAAAUUGUUCUGUAUUCUCUAGACUUUCUCUAAAUAGAGUCUGUCUAGCUUUGUAUCUGCCUUUUAUUUGCUAUUCACUCCUUUUAAGAGGUGGGGUGAUAACAUCAAGGGGUUUUGUGGCGUGUUAGUUCAAUAGCAUGGGUGACAGUGCUUCAUAAGUCCCAGAAGGCUCUGUAAAUGGUUAAUUGCUAAAAGGUGAGAAAUGUCUUUGUUUUGUCAUCUACCCAGUUCUCUCAUACAUUUCAAAUAUAAGGGUGGGUGUUCCAAGCCCACCACUUGCAGUGGGGCGGCGGAGCAAACAUGAAUAUUGGAGUUGCUCACAGUGAGGUGUAAUGAGCAGAUGAGGUUUGUGGCUGACAUAUGCAUUAGGAGUUGGCUUGCUUUAUAUUAUCCUACUCAGCAUUCUGUUCUUCAGUGUUCCUGUUGCUUGGACCUUAACGAAUGUUAUCCAUAAUCUGGGGAUGUAUGUAUUUUUGCAUGCAUUAAAGGAACACCUUUUGAAACUGGGUAAAGCAGGGUAAAGCAAGGCUUUUAAUUCAUUGGGGACAAUUGGACUAUGGAGUACAGUUUACAUCUUCACGGAAGUUUUUCACAAUUUCUCCAAUAAUUCU